UACGGGGGGAGCAAGCGUUGUUCGGAUUUACUGGGCGUAAGGGGCGCGUAGGCGGUCGUGACAAGUCACUUGUGAAAUCUCCGGGCUUAACUCGGAACGGUCAAGUGAUACUGUCGGACUAGAGUACAGAAGGGGCAACUGGAAUUCCCGGUGUAGCGGUGAAAUGCGUAGAUAUCGGGAAGAACACCAGUGGCGAAGGCGGCUGCCUGGCCUGUAACUGACGCUGAGACGCGAAAGCGUGGGGAGCGAACCGG
rnacentral:rRNA from 1 species